UACGUAGGGUGCAAGCGUUGUCCGGAAUUAUUGGGCGUAAAGAGCUUGUAGGCGGUUUGUCGCGUCUGCUGUGAAAUUUCGGGGCUCAACCCCGAACUUGCAGUGGGUACGGGCAGACUAGAGUGUGGUAGGGGAGACUGGAAUUCCUGGUGUAGCGGUGAAAUGCGCAGAUAUCAGGAGGAACACCGAUGGCGAAGGCAGGUCUCUGGGCCACUACUGACGCUGAGGCGCGAAAGCUAGGGUAGCAAACGGG
rnacentral:rRNA from 1 species